rnacentral:rRNA from 1 species
ACGGGUGAGUAACGCGUAUACAACCUGCCCCACAGAUAGGGACACCACUCCCAAAGGACUGCUCAUACCCAAAGUUGUCUCUUUCUCCCACGAGAGACUGAUAAAAGAUGGCCUCUACUUGUGAGCUAUCGCUUUGCGAUGGGUCUGCGUCUGAUUAUCUCGUUGGUGGGGUAACGGCCUACCACGGCGACAAUAAGUAGCCGGUCUGAGAGGAUGAAAGGCCACAUUGGAACUGAGACACGGUCCACACACCCACAGGAGGCGGCACUGGGGAAUCUUCCCCAAUGGGCGAAAACCUGACAGAGCACCGCCCCGCGAGUGAAAAAAGGUUUCGGCUCUCAUAGCUCUCUUUACAGGGACAAAAGUGCGAGAUGCGAAUAGUUUCUUGCGAUGACAGUGCCCGUCUAGGAAACCCCGGCUAAAUACAUGCCACCACCCGCGGUAAUACAUAUGUGGCGAGAGUUGUCCGGAAUUAUUGGGCGUAAAGGGAGCGCACGCGGGAAGGCGA